CUGCAUGUUGGUUUGAGGCUCGAAGCGUUCAGAAAUAAGCUCGUGCUAGUUUUUUCCAUAAAAUUCGCUCUGAUCGCAUCGCACCUCAAACGAGAGCUCCAGACACGGGGUUUGUAUUUUCAGUGCGCUGACUCCACCCGGUUCGGCGGAGGGUUGAAAACUGGUUUCAACCGGAAUUUUGUACUUGGAGGGUAAAACAGCCAGUCUGCAUGUGGGUUUGAGGCUGGAAGCGUUCAGAAAUAACCUCGUGCUAGUUUUUUCCUCAAAAAACCGCAGGAUUUGCUCUCUUCGAUAGCGCUAGUUGCACGAUGGCCCACGAAAAAGUCCUGAGCAAACAGGAUGAAAUCCUGGAAGAGCAAACGCGCUUCUACAACUACGGCAAGAAGCGCCUUACUGGCAUGGAAGCGUUCAAACUCUUCCUGUGGAACCCGGAAAAGAAAGCUUUUAUGGGCCGAACAGGAGCCAGUUGGUGUGAGUAUUGAAAAUCAGUUGUCUUGGCGUCUGAUUGGCCUAAUUGAGUGACGCAUCUCGACGAGCCGACCAACCAUUAGGGCUGAUUAGAUUAAACGUUUGAAUGCAAUUACCGG
rnacentral:lncRNA from 1 species